rnacentral:SRP_RNA from 1 species
GCUAAUGGUGCCAGCUACUGGAGAGACUGAGGCUGGGUGAUCUCUUGAGAGAUCUCUUGAGUUCUGAGCCAAAGUAGUCUGAUUGGGGGUCUACACUAAGUUUGGCAUCAUUAUGGUGAAUACCUGGGAGUUGGGGGCCACCAUAUUGUUUAAAAAAGGGCAAUCUAGCCCACAUUACAAAUGGAUCAGUUCAAAAUUCCUGUGCUGAUCAGUAGUGAGAUUGGACUCGUGAGUUGCCCUAUACUUCUAGCCAAGUGGAGACGUGGAAACUCAGUCUUA